CGGCCUUGACAUACUAAGAACUUUCCAGAGAUGGAUUGGUGCCUUCGGGAACUUAGAUACAGGUGCUGCAUGGCUGUCGUCAGCUCGUGUCGUGAGAUGUUGGGUUAAGUCCCGCAACGAGCGCAACCCUUUUCCUUAUUUGCCAGCGGGUCAUGCCGGGAACUUUAAGGAUACUGCCAGUGACAAACUGGAGGAAGGCGGGGACGACGUCAAGUCAUCAUGGCCCUUACGGCCAGGGCUACACACGUGCUACAAUGGUCGGUACAAAGGGUUGCUACCUCGCGAGAGGAUGCUAAUCUCAAAAAGCCGAUCGUAGUCCGGAUCGCAGUCUGCAACUCGACUGCGUGAAGUCGGAAUCGCUAGUAAUCGCGGAUCAGAAUGCCGCGGUGAAUACGUUCCCGGGCCUUGUACACACCGCCCGUCACACCAUGGGAGUUUGUUGCACCAGAAGUAGGUAGUCUAACCGCAAGGAGGACGCUUACCACGGUGUGGCCGAUGACUGGGGGUGAAGUCGUAACAAGGUAGGCGUAGAUGA
rnacentral:rRNA from 1 species